rnacentral:rRNA from 1 species
GAGUUUGAUCUUGGCUCAGAUUGAACGCUGGCGGCAUGCCUUACACAUGCAAGUCGAACGGCAGCACGGGAGCUUGCUCCUGGUGGCGAGUGGCGAACGGGUGAGUAAUGCAUCGGAACGUAUCCUGGAGUGGGGGAUAACGUAGCGAAAGUUACGCUAAUACCGCAUAUUCUGUGAGCAGGAAAGCGGGGGACCUUCGGGCCUCGCACUCUUGGAGCGGCCGAUGUCGGAUUAGCUAGUUGGUGAGGUAAAGGCUCACCAAGGCGACGAUCCGUAGCAGGUCUGAGAGGAUGAUCUGCCACACUGGAACUGAGACACGGUCCAGACUCCUACGGGAGGCAGCAGUGGGGAAUUUUGGACAAUGGGGGCAACCCUGAUCCAGCCAUGCCGCGUGAGUGAAGAAGGCC